rnacentral:rRNA from 1 species
UACGUAGGGUGCAAGCGUUACUCGGAAUACUGGGCGUAAAGCGUGCGUAGGCGGCUUGUCGCGUCGACUGUGAAAUCCCCUGGGCUCAACCCAGGAACUGCGUCCGAUACUGGUUGGCUUGAAUCCGGGAGAGGGACGUGGAAUUCCAGGUGUAGCGGUGAAAUGACGUAGAUAUCUGGAGGAACACCGGUGGGCGAAGGCGACGUCCUGGACCGGCAUUGACGCUGAGGAGGCGAAAAGCCAGGGGAGCGGAACGGG